rnacentral:lncRNA from 1 species
AAUUGUUGAAAUUCUAAUUCUGUUAAGUGUAACAUAUGUCUAAUGGAGCACAGAGGGUGAUAAAGGCACAUAUGGUGUGGUAAAUUUCCACCUGCUGAUUCUUUUGGAGACUGAUGAAAUCAUUUCGAUAAACUGACCAUGAUAAAUAAGAUAGAAAAUUUCAUUUAUUUAUUAUUUUUCUGAAUGCAAUGUAUCUUUGACAACUCAUAUUAUUUUGGUAUGUGCUGUUAAUGUGAUAAGUUCCCAAACAUUGAUGUUACCAAUACAGUAAAGAGAUGAAUUUAAAAUGGCACCCAAUAAAAAGAUGAGAAGGAGGGAUGAAGAUAUUUGCAUUAACAGAAGUCAAUAUUAAACAAUGUAGGAGUUUUAAUAGAAAAUAAGCUCGUUAUAAAUCUCAAGUGAGCAGUAGCAAUCCCACCUAAACUGGAAUUAGUAAAUCCAUCUGCCCUGGAGCAGUCAAGGAUGGGCAAUGUAGAAGCUUAGAGGUAACAUUAUAAAGGCUAUCAAACCUUUUUCCAGUGGUUGGCUAUCAUUUAUGAACCAUGUGUGUUACAAAACAACAACAUUUUCAACAAACAGUAAAAAUGGAAACGAUCAUUUUUACCUUCUCUUCGUCAUUUUUCUCAGAAAACAGUGAAAAACUAAACAUUUGAAACACAAUCAUGGAGAUGUUGUAUAAGGUCCUACGAGCUUUACCAACUUAAGUUUUUUAAGUGACCUGAUUGUGAGAUAUUUGCACUGUCAUUGUCUCAAUUCUCUACAAUGUUCUCUUUCCUUUUGUUGGUAUACAGAGAGAGUAUUUUAAUUCUCAGCUAUCUCAAGAAGAUAGACCUUAUCAACCUGAUCCAUCAAUUUAUUAUCCUGAAUAUCCAUAUCCAUAUCCAGUGCAAUAGCGUUAGAAUGCUGUUCAGUACCACAGGACGGGAUUACAGAGGCUUGGCGGGAGAUUCGAUUUGCUCUGUGCUCAUGAUGAUUCUUCCUACUCCACAACCCUUUACCCAUCUGGCAACGUUAUGUUAGCCCUCAACUAACAAAUACAGCCAAAGUUUUUUUAAAGCAUCCUUUUGAAUAAUUCAAAAGAGUAGCAUAUUAUAUGCAUUCUCUUAUGGAUGAUAUUGGAAUUUAAAAAGAAUUUGAGCCAUAAAUGGUUUCCAACACAAAAAAGAAAAUGAAGUCCAACAGUGUUACAUGAACAACACAACCCGAGAUCAAUGUUCACUCCUUUUAAAACAGUGGUAAUAAUAUUCUCUGAACUAUUUGAUUUUUUCCACUUUGUUCUCUGUGUUAAUUGUACUACAAAAUGAGAAAAAGCUUGCCAUGCAUAAUAAAGUGAUCUAUCAAGCACA